rnacentral:rRNA from 1 species
AGAGUUUGAUCCUGGCUCAGGAUGAAUGCUGGCGGUGUGUUUUAGGCAUGCAAGUCGAGCGACGCACCUUCGGGUGACGGAGCGGCAGACGGGUGAGUAACGCGUAGGAAUCUACCCUUUAGUGGGGAAUAGCCCUCCGAAAGGAGGUGUAAUACCGCAUAAUCCCUCAGGGGAAAAGGUCUUAACUGAUCGCUAAUGGAGGAGCCUGCGUGCUAUCAGCUUGUUGGUGAGGUAAUGGCUCACCAAGGCAAUGACGGCUAGGGGGCGUGAGAGCGCGACCCCCCACAAGGUCACUGAGACACGGGGCCUACACCUACGGGUGGCAGCAACCGAGAAUAUUGCGCAAUGGGCGAAAGCCUGACGCAGCGACACCGCGUGUGGGAAGAAGCGUUUCGGCGCGUAAACCACUGUGGCAGGGGACGAAUUUUGACGGUACCCUGCUAGAAAGCACCUGCUAACUACGUGCCAGAAGCCUCGGUAAUACGUAGGGUGCAAGCAUUAUCCGGAUUUACUGGGCGUAAAGCGUUCGUAGGCGGAAAAGUUAGUGGUGGGUUAAAUCCCAGGGCUCAACCCUGGAACUGCUCAUCAUACUGCUUUUCUAGAGUGUACUCGGGGAGGUUGGAAUUCUCGGUGGAGGGGUGAAAUCCGUUGAUAUCGAGAGGAACGCCAAGGGUGAAGACAGGCCUCUAGAGUACUACUGACGCUGAGGGACGAAAGCUAGGGUAGCAAACCGGAUUAGAGACCCGGGUAGUCCUAGCCGUAAACGAUGGAUACUAGUUGUCUGAGCUUUUUGCUCGGGUGACGUAAGCUAACGCGUUAAGUAUCCCGCCUGGGGAGUACGGCCGCAAGGUUAAAACUCAAAGGAAUUGACGGGGGAGCGCACAACCGGUGGAGCAUGUGGUUUAAUUCGAUACAAAGCGAAGAACCUUACCUGGGCUUGACAUGUACCUGCUAAUCCUAUGAAAGUAGGACUCUUUCGAAGGUGGUACACAGGUGCUGCAUGGUUGUCGUCAGCUCGUGUCGUGAGAUGUCCGCUUAAGUGCGGUAACGAGCGCAACCCCUAUCGUAUGUUAAAUGAUCAUACGAGACUGCUUCGCAGCAAGCGGGGAGGAAGGAGGGGACGACGUCAAAUCAGCAUGGCCCUUACGCCCAGGGCAACACACAUCCUACAAUGGGGAAGACAAUAGGUCGCGAAGGGGUAACCUGGAGCUAAUCCUCAAACUUUUCCUCAGUUCGGAUUGAGGGCUGCAAUUCGCCCUCAUGAAGUCGGAAUCGGUAGUAAUCGCACGUCAGCAGAGUGCGGUGAAUACGUUCUCGCUCCUUGUACACACUGCCCGUCAAGCCAGCGAAGCCGGCGGUACCCGAAGUCUCUGCAAAUCGCUAGGGCCUAAGGUAAAGUCGGUGACGAGGACUAAGUCGUAACAAGGUAGCCGUACUAGUAC